rnacentral:misc_RNA from 1 species
AACAACUAUAAAACUAACUAGAAACAAAUUUUUAUUACAAAAUAAUUCAGUAGAAAUAAGGUUAGUCUGGAAUUCAAUUUUAGAAAGGCCAUUAUAAUAAAAAAAACAGUAACAUUCUUAGGGUAGUAAUAAAAUACGAUAACACCAACUAAGGUCAGACCAGAUAGUGGAUUAUUUACUCGAUGAAUCAAUUCUAAAUAUCAUGCAGAAUCGAAUGCCUUUAAUUUAGCAAUGAGGUAGG